UACGUAGGGGGCAAGCGUUGUCCGGAAUCAUUGGGCGUAAAGCGCGCGUAGGCGGCCCUGUAAGUCCGUUGUGAAAGUCGAAGGCUCAACCUUCGAAAGCCGAUGGAUACUGCAGGGCUAGAGUCCGGAAGAGGCGAGUGGAAUUCCUGGUGUAGCGGUGGAAUGCGCAGAUAUCAGGAGGAACACCAAUAGCGAAGGCAGCUCGCUGGGACGGUACUGACGCUAAGGCGCGAAAACGUGGGGAGCGAACAGG
rnacentral:rRNA from 1 species